rnacentral:RNase_P_RNA from 1 species
UUCGCAGGCUGUUCUAUCGCCCCAAUUCAUUGGGGAGGAAAGUCCGGGCAAUACAGGGCGCUAUGCUUCCUAACGGGAAGGCGGACGAAAGUUUGCAGUAGUGUAACAGAAAAUAACCGUCCAGACGAAAGUCGGGAUAAGGGUGAAAAGGUGGGGUAAAAGCCCACCGGUAGUCGUGGUAACACGAUUAGCCGUACGCCUCAUGGAUUGUAAGGCCAAAUAUAUUACGAGUUCUUCGGAACACAGGGCUGCCCGCCCUGGUUUCGGCCACCGCAAGGAAACCGGGAGACGUAAGGGGUAGGCUGCAAGAGGCUGUUGGUGACAGCAGUCCCAGAUAAAUGAUAGAAUGAAAAACAGAACCCGGCUUACAGGCCUGCGAUUUUU